rnacentral:rRNA from 1 species
GCAACUCGCCUACACGAAGCUGGAAUCGCUAGUAAUCGCGGAUCAGCACGCCGCGGUGAAUACGUUCCCGGGCCUUGUACACACCGCCCGUCACACCAUGGGAGCCGGUAAUACCCGAAGUCAGUAGUCCAACCUCGUGAGGACGCUGCCGAAGGUAGGAUUGGCGACUGGGGUGAAGUCGUAACAAGGUACC